AUAUGUGAGCUGGGGUGCCCUAUGGCUGAGACUUACCCAUUGAACCUGAUCUAGUUAACACUAGCGUAGGGAGCUUGGAUUCAUUAAUA
rnacentral:ncRNA from 2 species